rnacentral:rRNA from 1 species
UACGGAGGGGGGCUAGCGUUGUUCGGAAUUACUGGGCGUAAAGCGCACGUAGGCGGCUUUGUAAGUUAGAGGUGAAAGCCCGGAGCUCAACUCCGGAACUGCCUUUAAGACUGCAUCGCUUGAAUCAUGGAGAGGUUAGUGGAAUUCCGAGUGUAGAGGUGAAAUUCGUAGAUAUUCGGAAGAACACCAGUGGCGAAGGCGACUAACUGGACAUGUAUUGACGCUGAGGUGCGAAAGCGUGGGGAGCAAACAGG